GACGUCAGCGACUGCGGAGGACAUUA
rnacentral:rRNA from 1 species